GAUGAAGAACGUAGCGAAAUGCGAUAACUAGUGUGAAUUGCAGAAUUCCGUGAAUCAUCGAGUCUUUGAACGCACAUUGCGCCCCCUGGUAUUCCGGGGGGCAUGCCUGUCCGAGCGUCAUUGCUGCCCAUCAAGCACGGCUUGUGUGUUGGGUCGUCGUCCCCUCUCCGGGGGGGACGGGCCCCAAAGGCAGCGGCGGCACCGCGUCCGAUCCUCGAGCGUAUGGGGCUUUGUCACCCGCUCUGUAGGCCCGGCCGGCGCUUGCCGAACGCAAAUCAAUCUUUUUCCAGGUUGACCUCGGAUCAGGUAGGGAUACCCGCUGAACUUAAGCAUAUAAUAAGCGGAGGA
rnacentral:misc_RNA from 1 species